rnacentral:snRNA from 1 species
AAGUCGAAAUCCGCUAAGGA